rnacentral:rRNA from 1 species
UAUUUUAAAGAGAAGUUUGAUCCUGGCUCAGGAACGAACGCUGGCGGCAGUUGCCUAAAUACAUGCAAGUCGAACGAACGGAGG